GAUGAAGAACGCAGCGAAAUGCGAUAAGUAAUGCGAAUUGCAGAAUUUCCGUGAGUCAUCGAAUCUUUGAACGCACAUUGCGCCCACUGGUAUUCCGGUGGGCAUGCCUGUUCGAGCGUCAUUAUCCUCCCUCAAACCCCGGGUUUGGUGUUGGACACAAGUUGUGUGAACAACUGGUCUCAGAGACAAUGACGGCGUCCGUGGGACCCUCGGUGCAACGAGCUUUUAGGAGCACGCAUCGAGUUGCAAGGACCUUCCGGGCCGGUCUCCUUUACCAUUUUACAAGGUUGACCUCGGAUCAGGUAGGAAUACCCGCUGAACUUAAGCAUAUCAAUAAGCGGAGGA
rnacentral:misc_RNA from 1 species